UGUAACGUUUAGGUUUAGUGGUAGGUAGUCUAGAAGGUGAAUAAUAAAAGAAGGAAUUUAGUAAAUGGUAUAAAGUCUAUAUUUUACAAAAAGAUCGGCAGAGCCGGGAGUGGGUUUAGAAUAAUCGAGCACGCGUUAAGUUCUGGCCCGCUAUAGAACACUACUACCCUGUAUAGUCAGGCAGCUCGGCAGCGGUCAGGCGGGGUACGUGUGCAGCGCGCUAGUAGAUGCCGGACGCGCAGGUAGAUGCAGGACACGUAGAUAGGCGCGGCACGUAGGUAGGCACAGGCACGUAGGUAGGCACAGUCACUAGACUAGACUAGUAGACUGGGGGUAGUCAGGUACUUGAACCCCGAUCUGGGGUAUACACUGACUUUAAAAGUUAUUUUAAAAGCACAAUAGUUUAUUAACGGUUAAAUUAUUUGCAAUAAAAUCGCGAGUUAAAAAUGUACAUAGACCAGUAGUAGUAGUAGACUGUAUCGGCUCGCGGCGUCGUGCUAGUGACCGUCUCGCGAUUGACCGCCGGCUCUGCUCGCGUCGCCUCAUAGGAGGGAUAGUUCGCCGAACCGGUUUCCGUCACCCGUCAACGGCUCACGGCUCGCGGCGCGCGGCCGAGAUAUAGCAAGUCUAGUAUUUUUAAAUAUUCAAAAUAUAACGUACAACGUUACAGUACCCCCCUUUUUAGCGUAGGAU